UUUAUAUAUUUGAUGACAUUACAUAACCAGAAAAUUCUGUUUGCCCGCCCCUUUUCCACACAAUGUGCCACACUGAAGCUCACGUUCCAGUAUCAGCCAACAAUUUUGGCUGAUACUGGUAUUACUUUGAAAAAUAAAUUCAACUGUUAUCUGGGAACAUGCAAACCAGUUUUUCCACUGCUGGACUUCAAAAUCCAGGUGGCCUCCUGCCUGUGCAUGGAGAAGAAAAUCACCAACAACAGAAAGGGGAGACCUGCUCAACCUGUGGUCUUGGAAAAAAAACGAGGACGCAACAGCUUUGUGCCCCCAGAUCCUGUCAGAAGGGACAGCACAGAUCACUGGCCCUUGCAUGCAAUUGAAAAAGGGAGGUGCAAAAUGCCAGGGUGUCAAGGCAUAGUGAGAAGCAAAUGCUCCAAAUGUGAUGUCUUCCUCUGCAUUACCCACGAGCGCAAGUGCUUCGUGGCCUUUCAUCAGGGGUAAAACCUGGAUUAGAAUGCAUGGUGUAAUGUGGAUUUGUUGACAUUGACCAUAAAAUGAUUUUACUGAUGACCAAAUGAGAUGAAUGAUAUGAAUAUGAAUUUUAUAAUAUUAAACUGGAAAUGAACUGUUUUUAAAUCAA